GGUAGAAAGAUCUCUUGAAGGUUGCUCCGA
rnacentral:piRNA from 1 species